rnacentral:rRNA from 1 species
GAUGAACGCUGGCGGCGUGCCUAAUACAUGCAAGUCGAGCGAACAGACCAUUAGCUUGUUCCUCUGUCGUUACCGCCGGACGGGUGAGUAACAGGUGGAUAUCCCCCCUCUACGACUGAGUUAACUUCGGCAUACCGGAGCUCAUACUAGAUAAUAUAUUUAACCACAUGGUUCAAUAGUUAUAGACGGUUUUGCUGUCGCUUAUAGAUGGGUCCGCGCCGCAUUAGCUAGUUGGUAAGGUAACGGCUUACCAAGGCAACGAUGCGUAGGCGACCUGAGAGGGGGGUCAGCCACACUAGAACUGAAACACGGCCCAGACUCCUACGGGAGGCAGCAGUAGGGAAUCUUACGCAAGGGGCGGAAGCCUGACGGAGAAACGCCGCGUGAGUGAUGAAGGUCUUCGGAUCGGAAAACUCUGUUAUUAGGGAAGAACAAAUGUGUAAGUAACUAUGCACGUCUUGACGGUACCUAAUCAGAAAGCAACGGCUAACUACGUG